CUUUUAGCUACCACUUACAGAUGGACCCGCGGCGCAUUAGCUAGUUGGUGAGGUAACGGCUCACCAAGGCGACGAUGCGUAGCCGACCUGAGAGGGUGAUCGGCCACACUGGGACUGAGACACGGCCCAGACUCCUACGGGAGGCAGCAGUAGGGAAUCUUCCGCAAUGGACGAAAGUCUGACGGAGCAACGCCGCGUGAGUGAUGAAGGUUUUCGGAUCGUAAAACUCUGUUGUUAGGGAAGAACAAGUACCGUUCGAAUAGGGCGGUACCUUGACGGUACCUAACCAGAAAGCCACGGCUAACUACGUGCCAGCAGCCGCGGUAAUACGUAGGUGGCAAGCGUUGUCCGGAAUUAUUGGGCGUAAAGCGCGCGCAGGCGGUUUCUUAAGUCUGAUGUGAAAGCCCCCGGCUCAACCGGGGAGGGUCAUUGGAAACUGGGGAACUUGAGUGCAGAAGAGGAGAGUGGAAUUCCACGUGUAGCGGUGAAAUGCGUAGAGAUGUGGAGGAACACCAGUGGCGAAGGCGACUCUCUGGUCUGUAACUGACGCUGAGGCGCGAAAGCGUGGGGAGCGAACAGGAUUAGAUACCCUGGUAGUCCACGCCGUAAACGAUGAGUGCUAAGUGUUAGAGGGUUUCCGCCCUUUAGUGCUGCAGCAAACGCAUUAAGCACUCCGCUGGAGACUAAGUG
rnacentral:rRNA from 1 species